rnacentral:rRNA from 1 species
ACGAACGCUGGCGGCAUGCCUAACACAUGCAAGUCGCACGAGACCUUCGGGUCUAGUGGCGCACGGGUGCGUCACGCGUGGGAACCUGCCCUUAGGUUCGGGAUAACUCCCCGAAAGGGGUGCUAAUACCGGAUAAUGUCUUCGGACCAAAGAUUUAUCGCCUUUGGAUGGGCCCGCGUUGGAUUAGCUAGUUGGUAGGGUAAAAGCCUACCAAGGCGACGAUCCAUAGCUGGUCUGAGAGGAUGAUCAGCCACACUGGGACUGAGACACGGCCCAGACUCCUACGGGAGGCAGCAGUGGGGAAUAUUGGACAAUGGGCGAAAGCCUGAUCCAGCAAUGCCGCGUGAGUGAUGAAGGCCUUAGGGUUGUAAAGCUCUUUUACCCGGGAUGAUAAUGACAGUACCGGGAGAAUAAGCUCCGGCUAACUCCGUG